AUCUCGUUCAGUGUCUUCAAUACCAUCCGUUCUUUAAAAACCCCCAAAGUUAUUAUUCCGCUACAUCACAUGACACUAUGAUGACGUGACUACUGCAUAUAUGUACAUGUUACUGUAUUUUGGUAUAUAUAUACGAGCGUGCUCAUCAUGCACACACCAAAAUAAGGUACGCUCAUGAGCACACUCAUAUAUACCAAAAUUACUGUAUUUUGGUAUAUUAAUGAGCG